CAAAAACAUCGCCUUUUGAAAAUUAUAAAAGGUAACGCCUGCCCAGUGACAUUGUUUAACGGCCGCGGUAUUCUGACCGUGCGAAGGUAGCGUAAUCACUUGUCUUUUAAAUAAAGACUCGUAUGAAUGGCAUCACGAAGACUUAACUGUCUCCUUAGUCCUAUCAGUGAAACUGAUCUUUCCGUACAAAAGCGGAAAUAAAGUCAUAAGACGAGAAGACCCUAUGGAGCUUAAAACUAAAAUCUAGCUAUAUCAUCUAUUAAAAUUAAUUAAUACUAUAUCUUUAUAGACUUAGCCAAAGUUUUCAGUUGGGGUGACUGUGGAGAAAAACUAAUCCUCCAUGUAGAUUUAAGCCCUGAGCUACCACUCUCAGCAUUAACAAGUUUAACUUUACUUGAUCCAAUAAUUUUGAUCAACGGACCAAGUUACCCUAGGGAUAACAGCGCAAUCCAUUUUAAGAGUCCAUAUCGACAAAUGGGUUUACGACCUCGAUGUUGGAUUAGGACACCCUAGUGGUGCAGCCGCUACUAACGGUUCGUUUGUUCAACGAUUUAAGUCCUACGUGA
rnacentral:rRNA from 1 species